ensembl:lncRNA
GCAGCCGGCACGGAGCUCACUGGGCACCAGGCACGGAUUUCACCGGGCACCGGGCCGCCCCGGCGCGAGAACUUGGACCAGAAGAUCUGGGGGAAGUACCAAUGUGCUAAUAUUUAUAGGAUGAAAAUGACAUGUCUUGUGGAAUUGUUCAAUUUGACAGUAUCAGCCCUGGACAGAAUAAUGGAAGGGUUGGCCACACAUUAUCAGAGGGAAUGCUGACUGCCAUUAACUCUACAGCCAAUGUAUCUUUCCAAGAAAUGUAAUUUAUGCCUGUUUGGAAUACCACCAGUGGAGGACACACUCAAGCUCCACAUCAAGGGAUGCUGAGCUCCACCUGCCUUCCUUUUGCUCAGUGGGAGCACUCUUCAUCUGCUCACCUACCACAGAGCUCCUGGGCUACCUGCUGCUUUCCCUAUUUUAAGGACACAUUACCAAAUGUAUCUGUUGCAUUUACAUUCAGUGAUUCUCUUAAUUUUAUGAAUAAACAUGGAUUAUACUCAUAGCAUGGUACUCCUGAUAAACUGAGACUGCAAGUGCUGCUGUGUUGCAGAUUCUGUACUGCCUUAGUGUAUUACUCUGAACUUCAUAUAAAGUGUCAGCAAGCUCCCCUCACAGCUCAGUCACACAAAACAAUCAUUUUCCAGCCCCAAAACCAAGGACACUGGUGCAGCUUCAGCCCCAAAAAGUGCAAACAACAGGGAAUUGAGGAGAGCAACCUGGAAGGAUGGGACCUCAUAACCUGGAGCUGUAACUGGACAAUGAACCCCAAUAUGGAAAUGGACCAAAACCUAUAAAAGUGUGAGAACUCAUGACCCAGGGUCCAUCUUGGGUGUAGCCACAGCCAGGCUCUUGUACUGCCCAAAGGUGUAUUCUUUAAAGGCCUUUUAAUAAAUGCCUGCUUUAUUCCUUUCACUCUCUCCAGCCUCUGUUCUACAUCUGCCUCUCUAGGCAUCAUCUGUACAGGCCAAACUGCAGUUUGAGUUAUUGCACAGUGUGAAUUUUCUCAAAGAGUUACUGAGCAAGACAGAAGCCUUUAACUUCCACUGAGGGAAGCUGAAGUUCUGGAAGUAACCUUUACGCCUGUAUUUAGGGACCUGGUGUUUGGGGUGCUGUUCCUGCAGCUGCUUUGAUCAGCAGAUUCAAGCCUCUCAGAGCUCCAUUUGUAUUUAAGCAAUAAAGACCCUGCCUUGUUCUUCUCUCCCAAUGCACACGUUACUCACUGACUGUUUCACAGUUUCUUUGAUGACUUGAAAGCUUUCAAAAAUCUGGCUCUUCCAUUGUUUCGUCGUCACCUCUGUCUCAGUUCCCUGUCUGUAAAAUGGGAAGUUCUGCAACAUCUUCUCACAGUUUCAUCCUGCUGUUAUUUCUGCUUCCAGGAUCUCCUAACCUGGCACAGACAUCUACUCAGUCUCCAGGGAGUAUCUGGUCUAUGAGUUUGGCCUUACAGCAUCUGAGCCACGAUGUCAUCACUUUGGGGCCCCACACAUGGAUGGCAAGAGAGGAAACAGUAUAAAUUGUGCUGGCCCCUGCUUUCUUGUGGUGAGAUCUGCAGUUGCCAGAAACUUCCAGCCUUUGUUCUGGGCUGGGAAUGGGUUUCAUAAUGGGGAGGAAGGCACUUUCUAUUCUGAGAGGAGAAAGCAGCAUCAAGGAAGGUUUUAAUUUUCUGCCACCAGUGCAGAGCAGACAGUUUGCUGGCAGCUGCAAGGCUUGAUAAACAGUGCAGUCCUGAUCCAGUCUGUCACAUGGAGGGGGACUGCAGCAAUGGAGCAUGUUCUUAUCCUGUGGGAAGGGGUUCUUGCUGGAGUGAUGCCUAAAGGUUUUUGUUUUUUAUACAUUUUUCAUAAAUUUUUAGCUUUAUGGACUGUUAACACAUAGUUAUAAUUUCUAGUACUUUUUCUGCCCUCUCCCAUAGUUUAACAAACCCUUAGGAAGACAUUCUUGAAAUUCCGUUUAGUCUCAAUGUUUAUGCCUUCCCCUGCAAUCAGGCACUUUGCCUCUGGUACAGUCGCGCACCCUGAGGUCCUACCAUGAAAAUUGUCUGGUUAGUAUUUUUCAAAUGCUUUGAGGGAGGGUUCUUGUUUAUAUGCCGUUCUUACUUUUUUUAUUCCUCCCAUCUUGCUGAUGCUAGUUUUCCAUCUUGUUACCCUUAUCUGUUGUUAGUGGUUCCCAUUGCAUUUGCUAGCUCCUUUCUCUGCCUUGUUUUUGUUUUCCCAUGGUAAGUAUAAAUUUAAAUUCUGCAUCCAUUUGCAAGAGCUGCUGCUUCCUUCUGUCCCCCUUAAUUUGAUUAAUAUUUCUUUCCAUCUUUUCUGCUUAUUCAACUGGUCAUUUUGCUGAUUUUAAUAUCACCUUGCUUUUUCCUGCUGUUUCUGAAAUGUGCGUUGUAAGGAAUGGAUCUGUCUCUGGCACCUUCAUGGUCUCCCUGUCUAUGUGCUGAGCCCUUUAGCAGCUUCAAUGCUUCUAUUUGACAUUUUUCAGGUCUAAAUUGAUAACUUAUGUUGUUUGAACUGAGUCAGGUGCCAGGGGAGUGCUGCAUUGCUGCAUUUCCAUUGCUGCCUUUCCCUCUGCUCUGCUUCCUUUCAGCUUCUCUUCGGAGCAGUGCUGUGUUCAGCUUUUUGGUGUUACUGUCACCAGAUCCACCCUGCCAGGCUUUCUUUUUUCAGUUCCUGGCUCUUUCUCUUUUUCUGCUCAGACAUGGCUCACACUUCUCCACUGAUUAAUUCUCUUCAUGCUCUGAUGUUCUCUACCCUUGAUUAAUUUUCUCCGUCUCUUCCAUUAAAAUCUAAACCCCAAAAAUCCUCAGCCUUUAAAGACUUCUAGGAUCUCCUUCACCUCUUGCACUGGUUCCUCCCACUUUCACUUUGCCAUCUUCCUAAUUUAAAAUGGGAAGGUUCAAAGUUUGGCUUAUUUCCUUGUCCUUUGUUUCAGGUGGAUUUGACCUGUUUUAGCUCAUUCCUCAAACUCCUUCCUCCUCCUGUGCUCAGUUGUUUCUUUGUAAGAGCUCUCUGCUUCCUUCCCCAGGAUAAGAACAGGAAAUAACCUCUUCUUUCUCUGCUUCGUUUCAUUUUUUUCUUUCUUCUCCCCAUCAUUAAUGCAGAAAUUUCUUACCUGUUUUGUUAUUGAAAUCUCAAGUAACACACUCCAAGGACUUCAAGGCGCAGAAUUUCAAAGAAUUUAUGUGACUAAUUAUUUGCUCUAGAAGGGAAGAUGAAGUUUGUAGGUGAUGUUUGUACAACAAGUAGUGACUUUGCAGCAUGAUGGGCUCUGUAUCUCAGUCUCCAAGGCUACAGGCUACAGCAAGAAUGAAUAUAAAACCUGUGAUGCACAAAAUCACUCAGGCACAAAAUCCAGGAUGAAUGAAGAAUGUUCAGUUGCUUAAGAUCAUAUUUUGCCUUCAUUAAGGAACCACAGAACCUGGAAUGGGACAACCACCAGUACCAGUGGAGGCUGGGGAUGGAGAUAUUGAGAGCAGUCCUGCCAAGACUGGGGAUAUGAGUGGAUGGAACACUGACUGUGAGCCAGCUGUGUGUGCUGGCAGCCCAGAAAAUCCAUUGGUUCUGGGGCCAGCUCCAGGGAGCUGAUUCUUCUCUCUCUGCCCAGGUGGGACUGCCUCCAGCUCUGGGGACCAGCAGGAAGGAUGGGGAGCUGCUGGUGGGAGCCCAGAGGAGGCCAUGGAGAUGGUCCCAAGGCUGGAGCCCCUCUGCUCUGGGGACAGCCUGGGAGAGCUGGGGGAGCUCAGCCAGGAGAGGAGGGGGCUCCCAGGACACCUUGUUACAGCUUUUCUAUACUUAAAAGGAGCUUAUGAGAACAACAAAGGUACUUUUUAACCAAGGCCUGUAGUGACAGGACAUGGAAUAAUGGUUUUAACCUAAAAUAGGAUAGAUUUUGGCAUAGCAGAGAUGUGAUCACAUAAUUAAGGUUGGGGUUUUUUUGUUUGCAAUCCAUGAUAAUGUAACACUGAAUAUUCUUAUCCUUGAAAAACUCUAAUCCUUGAA